GGGGCGGGGGGUCCCGGGCCGGUGCCGGUGUCGGCGAUGCGGCGGCUCCUGGCGCCGCUGCUGCUGCUGCUGCUGAGCCCGGUGCCAGGGUGGGGCGGGGGGUGUCCCCCGUGUCCCCCCGGUGUCCCCCAGCCAUGUGACCCUGAUGACACGCACACCCCGAGCCCCGCGGAGGAGGAGCGGGAGGAGCCGUGCCCACCCUGCCCCCCCUGCAGCCGUGAGUGGCACCGGGGACCCCCGGGGGGGUGGUGGGAGGG